GAUGAAGAACGUAGCGAAAUGCGAUAACUAAUGUGAAUUGCAGAAUUCAGUGAAUCAUCGAGUCUUUGAACGCACAUUGCACCCCCUGGUAUUCCGGGGGGCAUGCCUGUCCGAGCGUCAUUGCUGCCCUCAAGCACGGCUUGUGUGUUGGGCUCCGUCCCCCCGGGGACGGGCCCGAAAGGCAGCGGCGGCACCGAGUCCGGUCCUCGAGCGUAUGGGGCUUUGUCACCCGCUCUGUAGGCCCGGCCGGCGCCAGCCGACAACCCAUCAUCCUUUUCAGGUUGACCUCGGAUCAGGUAGGGAUACCCGCUGAACUUAAGCAUAUCAAUAAGCGGAGGA
rnacentral:misc_RNA from 1 species